rnacentral:rRNA from 1 species
UACGUAGGGUGCAAGCGUUGUCCGGAAUUAUUGGGCGUAAAGAGCUCGUAGGCGGCUUGUCGCGUCACUGUGAAAUCCCGCGGCUCAACUGCGGGUCUGCAGUCGAUACGGGCAGGCUAGAGUUCGGUAGGGGAGACUGGAAUUCCUGGUGUAGCGGUGAAAAUGCGCAGAUAUCAGGAGGAACACCGGUGGCGAAGGCGGG